AGCGAACGCUGGCGGCGUGCCUAACACAUGCAAGUCGAACGCGAAAGGGGGGGCAACUCCCUGAGUAGAGUGGCGCACGGGUGAGUAACGCGUGGGUAAUCUGCCUUCGAGUGGGGAAUAACCUCGCGAAAGCGGGGCUAAUACCGCAUAACAUCCUCCUGUCCUCGGAGAGGGGGAGCAAAGAUGACCUCUGCAUGCAAGUUGUCGCUCGAAGAGGGGCCUGUGUACCAUUAGCUAGUUGGCAGGGUAACGGCCUACCAAGGCUACGAUGGGUAGCCGGCCUGAGAGGGUGACCGGCCACACUGAAACUGAGACACGGUCCAGACUCCUACGGGAGGCAGCAGUGAGGAAUAUUGCGCAAUGGGCGAAAGCCUGACGCAGCGACGCCGCGUGGAGGAUGAAGGCCUUCGGGUCGUAAACUCCUGUCGAGGGGGAAGAAAUGACACUUCGUCAAUAGCGAGGGGUCUUGACGGUACCCCUGGAGGAAGCCCCGGCUAACUCCGUGCCAGCAGCCGCCGUAA
rnacentral:rRNA from 1 species